rnacentral:lncRNA from 1 species
AUACAUUCUCUCAAUAUCAAGUUUUUCUUUUUUGACUGCUGAGUUGCAAAUCACUCUGGGCUAAUGAUCCAGACAGAAAAAUCCGAUCUUUUUCUUGAAGAAAUGGGUGGUGGUUCAGAAAACAGAGCUGAAGAAGGAAGAAAACAGUGAUUUCUUUCUACUUGAAAGUGGAAAGCGGAGUAGGGCAGCAGCCAAAAUGCCAAAAUGCAUAUGAGAGAGAAGAAUAAGAAGUGAAUUGAGAGUUGGAGACUUUGAUUUAUAGCUGCAUUUUUUAAGAAAAAUAAUAAGCAGCCA